AGAUUGAACGCUGGCGGCAUGCCUAACACAUGCAAGUCGAACGGGAGUAGCAAUACUCUAGUGGCGGACGGGUGAGGAAUACGUAGGAAUUUGCCCUUAAGUGGGGGAUAACCCGGGGAAACCCGGAUUAAUACCGCAUGACCUCGAAAGAGCAAAGUGGGGGAUCGCAAGACCUCACGCUUUUGGAGAAGCCUACGUCGGAUUAGCUAGUUGGUGAGGUAAUGGCUCACCAAGGCGACGAUCCGUAACUGGUCUGAGAGGAUGAUCAGUCACACCGGAACUGAGACACGGUCCGGACUCCUACGGGAGGCAGCAGUGGGGAAUAUUGGACAAUGGGCGCAAGCCUGAUCCAGCAAUGCCGCGUGUGUGAAGAAGGCCUUGGUUGUAAGCACUUUAAGUUGGAAGUAAAGAACUCGCUCUGACACAGUGAGUCUUGACGGUACCGACAGAAUAAGACACCGGACUAACUCUGUGCCAGCGAGCCGC
rnacentral:rRNA from 1 species